GACGAACGCUGGCGGCGUGCUUAACACAUGCAAGUCGAACGGAAAGGCCUGCUUUUUCUUGUGGUUUUCGGGUACUCGAGUGGCGAACGGGUGAGUAACACGUGAGUGAUCUGCCCCCAACUAGGGUAUAAGCCUGGGAAACUGGGUCUAAUUCCCGAUAGGACUGCAGGGUGGUGCCUGUGGUGGAAAACUUUUUUCUAGUGGUUGGGGAUGAGCUCGCGGCGUAUCAGCUUGUUGGUGGGGUAAUUGCCGACCACGGCGGCGACGGGUAGCCGGCCGGGGAGGGUCGACCACGACAGUGGGACUGGGAGACGGCCCCGACGCCUGCGAGCAGCAGGGGUGGGGAAUCUAGGAGCGAGGGCCGAAGGCUGCUGCGGCGACGCCGCGUGGAAGAUGACGGCCUUGGGGUAGUAAGCUACUUUCGAAGAAGAGGAAGCCACCUAGUUGGGAGGGUGGUGACGGUAGUGGUAGAAGAAGCACCGGCUAACUACGUG
rnacentral:rRNA from 1 species